rnacentral:rRNA from 1 species
AUGGCGACCGGCGCACGGGUGAGUAACACGUAUCCAACCUGCCGAUAACUCGGGGAUAGCCUUUCGAAAGAAAGAUUAAUACCCGAUGGUAUAAUCAGACCGCAUGGUUUGAUUAUUAAAGAAUUUCGGUUAUCGAUGGGGAUGCGUUCCAUUAGGCAGUUGGUGAGGUAACGGCUCACCAAACCUUCGAUGGAUAGGGGUUCUGAGAGGAAGGUCCCCCACACUGGUACUGAGACACGGACCAG